CGUUGAGGAUAUCUCUAGAUUUCUUUCCUUAGUUUUCACAAGCUUUUCAUGAGGAUUUGAGAAUCAGAGAAGAUGUUGAGAGCGGUAAUUCCACAAUCGAGAGCAGAGAUCAUGGCGGUGCGAAGCGCCAAAGUUUCCGCAAUAAGGGGCGAUGCCACAAAGGGCGAAAUCGCUGAGAGAGAUAUGGUUGUGCCUGCAUCAUCAAUGAUCCAACCUAGUCCUGCGCGUUUCGUGAGGGGGUCCCAAGCCGCGUCAGUGAACAUGCAGGAUCGAUUUGGUGCGCUGGUUGGAUCUUCGGCGAUGUUAGGUCUUGGGUUUAGCGGUUGCAAGCGGGGUGAUUGAGCUGUAGUCCAUUCACGAGCUUCCUUGAUUGUUUUUGUAACAGGCUCAAUCGGGGUGGCUGUUCGCUUGUUGAAAAUCAGUUGGUUUCGCGCAAUCCAUAUGUUCCAGAGGAUCCAAGAUGAUAGCGUUCCUGCUUCAAGGCCCGUGGGGGGGGAGGAAUGGGAUUCUUCUGUAUUGAUCUAGACCAUAGGCCGUAGAGAUGGUUGGGUUAUGAUUUGCGGGGAGAGCAAAGGGUACCAAGUCCCAGACAUCUUUAGCGUACCUGCAAUUGAAAAGCAAGUGGACAACAGAUUCAAUUUCAGUACAUCGUGGGCAUUGGCUUGAGGGUUAGUUUGUGGAUAUGGGGACUGCAGCACGGACAAAAUGAUCUCUGGCCAAGGGAGGUCACGAGCAGGUUGGUGCUUAGAUUUUCGGAGCCUUUCAGGAGUAUUCAUACCGUGACGUCGCCGCUCAUACAACUUUAAAGCCAAGGUAAAGGAGGGGAAGGCAAACACUCAAGAGGAACUUAAGAGGAAUCUUCGCGAUGACCUUGAAGAGUGGGAUAAGAGACACUUCUCACUCAAAGGCAAAACUUACAAUGGUAGAGCCAUUGAUCCCUAUGAGAGCAGAUCGGACGGUCGAGAGAAGAAGCUGAGUAGAUCGGAGUUUGAGAUGAAAGAAAUCAUCGAAGAAGACAAUUUCUUUUGUGAUAUCAAUUUUUGUAUAUUAGCUACAAAUGCAAUAUAACCAGCAAUAGAUGAAUGGUUCUAAGUUGUAACAACAAUAAUUUUAAUAAACUUUUACGAAAAUAAAUAAAAUCUAACAGUUGCUGGAAAA